rnacentral:rRNA from 1 species
AUUGAACGCUGGCGGCAUGCUUUACGCAUGCAAGUCGAACGGCAGCGCGGGCUUCGGCCUGGCGGCGAGUGGCGAACGGGUGAGUAAUGCAUCGGAACGUGCCCAGUAGUGGGGGAUAGCCCGGCGAAAGCCGGAUUAAUACCGCAUACGACCUGAGGGUGAAAGCGGGGGACCGAAAGGCCUCGCGCUAUUGGAGCGGCCGAUGUCGGAUUAGCUAGUUGGUGGGGUAAAGGCUUACCAAGGCGACGAUCCGUAGCUGGUCUGGGAGGACGACCAGCCACACUGGGACUGAGACACGGCCCAGACUCCUACGGGAGGCAGCAGUGGGGAAUUUUGGACAAUGGGGGCAACCCUGAUCCAGCCAUGCCGCGUGCGGGAAGAAGGCCUUCGGGUUGUAAACCGCUUUUGUUCGGGAAGAAAUCCUCUGGGCUAAUACCCCGGGGGGAUGACGGUACCGGAAGAAUAAGCACCGGCUAACUACGUG